UACGGGGGGGGCAAGCGUUGUUCGGAAUUACUGGGCGUAAAGGGCUCGUAGGCGGCCAACUAAGUCGGACGUGAAAUCCCUCGGCUUAACCGGGGAACUGCAUCCGAUACUGGAAGGCUUGAGUUUGGGAGAGGUAAGCGGAAUUCCUGGUGUAGCGGUGAAAUGCGUAGAUAUCAGGAGGAACACCUGUGGUGUAGACAGCUUACUGGACCACUUCUGACGCUGAGACACGAAAGCGUGGGUAGCAAACAGG
rnacentral:rRNA from 1 species